UCAACCCUGCGUGCCAGUAGGCUUAGCUACUCCCCACCCAGCCACAGACCUCCUGCCCAUCCCCUGGGGCAGACACGGAGAGGAGAGGGGCCCAAUGCAGAGGCGCCACCUCUGGAACCUGGGGCCACUCUGCAAUCGUGCUCACACAAGUCGCUGAGCUGGGACCCUCCUGAGUACCGUCUCCUGGAUUAUCAGGCCUACUGUUUUACGCAUGCUGCCUAUGGAGGCUAAAAUAGAAGCCCGUUCUGUCCAAAGAGCUCCUGUAGAGACUUCCCACCACCCUGCCUUCUUGGAAAGAGCGUCCAGCGCAUUCCGCACUGGAACCCAUCACAGAGGGAAGAUGCCGAGGCCAUAGCUCAACUUCCUCAGGUCAGGAGAGGCCCCGAGCAGUCAUCUCUACCGCCUCUCAGCCCUCCAACUAUGCAAAGAAUGUGAACCAUUUCCCAUGGGACUGGCAACCUUGAAGCAGUUCUGAGCACAUCCUCCCCAAAUAUCUGCUUCUCAAACAGAUAAAACAGAGAAGCAUCCCGAAAAUGCUUGGGCUAUCCACCUGAGGUGGUGGUACAAUGUUUGCUUGCCUUUUUCUGCUUCUGGACUCCAUCUGAGAACUGUUGGUGAGCCAGCUUGGGAUGAGGCCAUGUUCCCUGUGGGGACAGAGAACAGAGAACUCUCUGGACAGGGCCUCUCAAGGGAAUGGGGCCCAAGCAGUGCCCAGUGCUCCGGCUCCUGUCCCAGUAAUGGAAUCAAUGCUGAACCGUUCUGGGAUCAUUUGGGUGCCUUUUGGUGCCUGAGGAAUCUGGGCAUGGGACUGACUGUCUUCACCACUACCAAGGACCCACCUCAACCAGCCUUUGGCCUCCCCAGUCCACGCCACCUCUGAUUUUGUGGCCUGAGUGGAUGGGGGCAGUGGCUGGGGCAAGGCCAUGCCAGGCUUGGCAGAGCACGUGGGUGGGGAGGCAGGACAUGACUUUCUGAGUAGCUCUCACCUUUCAAGAGCCUCUGGCAUGCCUUGUUGCUCUACUGCAGGCGUGAUCAGGCCCAGUGACCUACAUAACCUUACAGAGGUAGGCCAGGUGCAGACCUUGACUCAUCUCAGAGGAGCCUGACUUGGGAAGGGUGGGGGUGGGGAGGAUUUCUAAUCCUGAGAUGCUGAAACCAUCUAAAUGCUCAGGCUUAGUGAAUCAUGAUAUGUCCAAAGGGUGAAAUAUUAUGUAAAAGUGAUUAUAGUAAAGACUACUUAGCAACAUUACAAAUGUUUAUGAUAUAAUGCUGGGUGAACAAAGGAAGAUAAUGUGUAUAUUUUGCACAAUGGAUGAGGGAAGACUGGGAGGGGAUUUAAAAAAUAACAAUUGCUCUGCUA